rnacentral:lncRNA from 1 species
UCGUAAUUUGAUCACCGUCGGAAGGAUCUAAUCAUCAUAAUGCAGCCACACAGUAUGUCUGGCCUCUGCAGAUCAUCCACAUGAAGCUUCCGAUCUGAUCGGCUCCUCACGAGUGCUAGCUCAUUGUAGAGCCCUUUCGACGGUCGAUGCUUAUCGAACUCCUUCGAUCGAUGUUUGUCGAUUUUUUGGAUACUCUGAAUCAUCAG